GUGAAGUUCAAACCACCUCUCACGAUGACGAUGACGCUACAGUCCUUAGUGCUCUCUGGAAGGUUAUUUGGUUGAAUUUGGAGAAGGCAAAACAAAUAGUGUGAAAACUAACCACUACAGAAAAUCUCAGCGAAAAAAAGAACCUAAAGCCAUACUUGGAUCUUAAUUUGGAGGCAUCAGCUUCAUGGACCCUGAGCUCCUCCCUAGUCAAGGUGUGACUAUCAGGUAGGUGUUUGUGGAAGCAGAAUUUCAAGCCACAC